GACAGAGGCCCCAAGCGUUAGGCGGAAUCACUGGGCUUAAAGCGUGUGUAGGCGGAUCGUUAAGUGUCUUGUGAAAUCCCACGGCUCACCCGUGGAACUGCUGGGCAUACUGGCGAUCUUGGGCCAACUAGGGGCAGCCGGAACAAGCGGUGGAGCGGUGAAAUGCGUAGAUAUCGCUUGGAACGCCGAAGGUGGAAACAGGCUGCUGGGGUUGUGCCGACGCUGAGACACGAAAGCCAGGGGAGCAAACGGG
rnacentral:rRNA from 1 species